UGAAUACGAGACGCUAAGGCGUCGAAGUAGUGUAUGUCAUACUUCCAAGAAAAGCUUGCACUGUCAUAAGUAAAAAAUGCCUGUACCAUAACCGACACAGGUGGGUAGGUAGAGUAUACUAAGGGGCGCGAGAUAACUCUCUCUAAGGAACUCGGCAAAAUAACUCCGUAACUUCGGGAGAAGGAGUACCUUAUUCUAUAAGGUUGCAAUAACAAGAUCCAAGCAACUGUUUAUCAAAAACACAGGUCUCCGCUAAGUCGUAAGACGAUGUAUGGGGGCUGACGCCUGCCCAGUGCCAGAAGGUUAAAGAAGUCGGUUAGCAUUAGCGAAGCUGGUAACUGAAGCCCUGGUGAACGGCGGCCGUAACUAUAACGGUCCUAAGGUAGCGAAAUUCCUUGUCGGGUAAGUUCCGACCCGCACGAAAGGCGUAAUGAUUUGGAUACUGUCUCGGAGAGGGGCUCGGUGAAAUAGACUUGUCUGUGAAGAUGCGGACUACCUGCACCAGGACAGAAAAGACCCUAUGAAGCUUUACUGUAACUUGAAAUUGAAAUUGGACUUUAUUCGCGCAGUAUAGGUGGGAGGUGUUGAUUAUAAUCUUGCGGGAUUAUUGGAGCCAUCAGUGAGAUACCACUCUUGUAAUGUUAGAUUUCUAACUUUGAAUCAUUAUCUGGUCAAAGGACAGUUUCAGGCGGGCAGUUUGACUGGGGCGGUCGCCUCCCAAACGGUAACGGAGGCGUACAAAGGUUUCCUCUGAACGGGUAGAAAUCGUAUCUAGAGUGUAAAGGCAUAAGGAAGCUUGACUGUGAGACCUACAAGUCGAACAGGGACGAAAGUCGGUCUUAGUGAUCUGACGGUACUGAGUGGAAAGGCCGUCACUCAACGGAUAAAAGUUACUCUAAGGAUAACAGGCUGAUCUCCCCCAAGAGUUCACAUCGACGGGGAGGUUUGGCACCUCGAUGUCGGCUCAUCGCAUCCUGGGGCGGUAGUACGUCCCAAGGGUUGGGCUGUUCGCCCAUGAAAGCGGUACGCGAGCUGGGUUCAGAACGUCGUGAGACAGUUCGGUCCAUAUCCGGUGUAGGCGUUAGAAUAUUGAGAGGAGCCUUCUUUAGUACGAGAGGACCGAGAAGGACAUACCUCUGGUGUACCAGUUAUCGUGCCAACGGUAAACGCUGGGUAGCUAUGUAUGGAGUGGAUAACCGCUGAAAGCAUCUAAGUGGGAAGCCCACCUCAAGAUAAGUAUUCUCAUC
rnacentral:rRNA from 1 species